rnacentral:tRNA from 1 species
CGGGGUGUAGCGCAGCCUGGUAGCGCACCUGUUUCGGGAGCAGGGGGCCGGAGGUUCAAAUCCUCUCACCCCGACCA